UACGGAAGGUGCGAGCGUUAAUCGGAAUUACUGGGCGUAAAGCGCACGUAGGUGGUUUUAUAAGUCGGAUGUGAAAGCCCCGGGCUUAACCUGGGAAUUGCAUCUGAUACUGUCUGACUAGAGUAUGCUAGAGGGAAGUGGAAUUCCAGGUGAUAGCGGUGAAAUGCGUAGAUAUCUGGAGGAACACCGGUGGCGAAGGCGGGUCUCUGGACAGUUCCGUGACGCUGAGGCACGAAGGUCAGGGGAGCAAACGGG
rnacentral:rRNA from 1 species